rnacentral:hammerhead_ribozyme from 1 species
AUUCAUCUGAUGAGUCCCAAACAGGACAAAACUCACGUCCUGGAU